rnacentral:rRNA from 1 species
CCGGAGAUGGAUUCUGAGACACGAAUCCAGGCCCUACCGGGGUGCAGCAGGCGCGAACACUUUACAAUGCGGGAAACCGCGAUAAGGGAACCCCGAGUGCCAGCAUCAAAUGUUGGCUGUCCAGAUGAUUAAAAAUCAUUUGUUAGCAAGGGCCGGGCAAGACCGGUGCCAGCCGCCGCGGUAACACCGGCGGCCCGAGUGGUAGCCGUUUUUAUUGGGUCUAAAGGGUCCGUAGCCGGCCUGAUAAGUCCUUUGGGAAAUCUGGCAGCUUAACUGUCAGGCUUCUAAGGGAUACUGUCAGGCUUGGGACCGGAAGAGGUAAGGGGUACUCCAGGGGUAGGAGUGAAAUCUUGUAAUNCCCUGGGGGACCAUCUGUGGCGAAGGCGCCUUACCAGAACGGGUCCGACGGUGAGGGACGAAAGCUAGGGGAGCAAACCGGAUUAGAUACCCGGGUAGUCCUAGCUGUAAACGAUGCUCGCUAGGUGUCAGACACGGUGCGACCGUGUUUGGUGCCGNCAGGGAAGCCGUUAAGCGAGCCACCUGGGAAUACGGUCGNCAAGCU